CGCCGGAACGCAAAAUGGAUAGCGACUGCUCCAAAGGCAGGUUAUGCGGGUUCGACCCCCGCCCGGCGCC
rnacentral:tRNA from 1 species